rnacentral:misc_RNA from 1 species
GGCAGCUGAAGUCCUCGACUUCGUUGGCAAACAAGUUCGAGUUUCAACUGUUACUGGAAAGAAGGUGUUGGCUCUUCCUGAGAAGCUUUUGCCGAGGGACGCGGAUGAGGAUGACCACGGAGGAGUGGAUGACAUGACGAAGUUGACCUAUUUGAAUGAGCCUGGCGUGCUUUAUAAUCUUCAAAGAAGAUAUUCUCUCAAUGACAUAUAUACAUA